CGGGGGACCCCGUGAAGGUGUUUUAUUUCCUACUGAGGGCUGUGGUGUGUUGGGCCACGGUCGUAGCGGAUCGGGAAUGUGGCUCUGGCCUUUGCUGGAGGAGGGUAAGACUUAGAAGGAGCAUCAGCUUGUCCAGUAAGUGAGCAGUGAGGUGACAAAAUGGAUUCAGACAAACCAGAGGAUCAGAAAAAGCAGCAAAAAGAAAAGAAAGCAGGAUGAAGUUGUUUCCCAGAAGGAAAAAGCUUCCCCACUGUGAACCUCUCUGUACUGAUAAAAUUCCAUUUGCACUAGGGGGGUCGUUCUGCUCUUACUGUUCCAAGGAAAUCCCAUUUCUAAUGCAAGAUGGAUGACUUUGCUAUACUGAGACACUGCAAAAUCAAAGCAACUGCUUCUGCAUCCAAGUACAAAAUCUAAGACAGAGAACUCUCUGUGUGUGGAAUAAGUGAAACAAUUGUGGAGGAAAGGUCGCUGACAACUGCAUGGGAAUUGCUUCCUGAAAAAAGUUGCCUUCUAAAGAGUUAAGAUUUUAGGAGUCGGCUUUACGUAUGCAUAUAUGUAUUUAAAUAACAUUUGAAGAUGCCAUGCGUUGGAUAAGAACUGUGUAACUGAUAGCGUUAACUGCACUCAAGGGGCAUGUGAACCAGUGGGGAAGCUUGCAUAGAAAGGUGUGAUGCUGCUCUCCACUGUGGACCCGAGUGCAAUGGAUUAUGGCAGUGUAACAAAUAACCAUAGGUGAGAAAGACUUUCUAGAUAACUAACUAAAAGUUCCUUUUAUUUUACUUUCUUCUCUUAUCUUCUUUUUUGUUCUUCAGUUUUUUUCUAUUUCAAACCUUCUUGUUGCUCUGCAAGUACUUUAUAAUAAAAGUUGCUAGAAAAAUAAUCUUUUCCCUGUUUCUUUCCCUGCCUUUUCUUUUGCUCUUCUCCUUUGUCUACUUCAGUCACCUUCAUCGCUGUUCAUGCCUCUCUGUUCAUUUUCAGUCUCCUUUUCUACUACUUUCUCCUUAAGCUCUU